rnacentral:rRNA from 1 species
CGGACGGGUGAGUAACGCGUGGGUAACCUGCCUCACACAGGGGGAUAACAGUUAGAAAUGACUGCUAAUACCGCAUAACCCGAUAGGAUCGCAUGAUCCAGACGGAAAAGAUUUAUCGGUGUGAGAUGGACCCGCGUCUGAUUAGGUAGUUGGUGGGGUAACGGCCUACCAAGCCGACGAUCAGUAGCCGACCUGAGAGGGUGACCGGCCACAUUGGGACUGAGACACGGCCCAA